AGCUCCAAUAGCGUAUAUUAAAGUUGUUGUGGUUAAAAAGCUCGUAGUUGGAUCUCAACAGCCUUGAAGCGGUUAACUUUGUAGUUUUACUGCUUUAUAGGCUGUGCUUUUGCUGGAGGUUUAGGGGUGCUCUUGAUCGAGUGUCUCUGGAUGCCAGCAGGUUUACUUUGAAAAAAUUAGAGUGCUCAAAGCAGGCUAAAAUGCCUGAAUAUUCGUGCAUGGAAUAAUAGAAUAGGAUGUCGAUCCUAUUUUGUUGGUUUUCGGGACUCGACAUAAUGAUAAAUAGGGACAGUCGGGGGCAUUUGUAUUCAAACGACAGAGGUGAAAUUCUUGGACCGUUUGAAGACAAACUACUGCGAAAGCAUUUGCCAAGAAUGUUUUCAUUA
rnacentral:rRNA from 1 species